AGAGUUUGAUCCUGGCUCAAUUAACGCUGGCGGCAUCCUUACACAUGCAAGUCGAACGGCAGCGCGGCUUCGGUCUGGCGGCGAGUGGCGAACGGGUGAGUAAUACAUCGGAACGUACCCUGUUGUGGGGGAUAACUAGUCGAAAGAUUAGCUAAUACCGCAUACGACCUGAGGGUGAAAGUGGGGGACCGCAAGGCCUCACGCAGCAGGAGCGGCCGAUGUCUGAUUAGCUAGUUGGUGGGGUAAAGGCCCACCAAGGCGACGAUCAGUAGCUGGUCUGAGAGGACGAUCAGCCACACUGGGACUGAGACACGGCCCAGACUCCUACGGGAGGCAGCAGUGGGGAAUUUUGGACAAUGGGGGCAACCCUGAUCCAGCAAUGCCGCGUGUGUGAAGAAGGCCUUCGGGUUGUAAAGCACUUUUGUCCGGAAAGAAAUCGCGCUGGUUAAUACCUGGCGGUGAUGACGGUACCGGAAGAAUAAGCACCGGCUAACUACGUGCCAGCAGCCGCGGUAAUAC
rnacentral:rRNA from 1 species